CACGUAGGCGGACUGUUAAGUCAGGGGUGAAAUCCCGGGGCUCAACCCCGGAACUGCCUUUGAUACUGGCGGUCUCGAGUCCGGAAGAGGUUAGUGGAAUUCCCAGUGUAGAGGUGAAAUUCGUAGAUAUUGGGAAGAACACCAGUGGCGAAGGCGGCUAACUGGUCCGGUACUGACGCUGAGGUGCGAAAGCGUGGGGAGCAAACA
rnacentral:rRNA from 1 species